UACGUAGGUGGCAAGCGUUGUCCGGAUUUACUGGGCGUAAAGGGUUCGCAGGCGGCCUUGUAAGUCAGAUGUGAAAGACAGCGGCUUAACCGUUGUAAGCAUUUGAAACUGCAGGGCUUGAGUACAGGAGAGGAAAGCGGAAUUCCUAGUGUAGCGGUGAAAUGCGUAGAUAUUAGGAGGAACACCAGUGGCGAAGGCGGCUUUCUGGACUGAUACUGACGCUGAGGAACGAAAGCGUGGGGAGCAAACAGGAUUAGAUACCCUGGUAGU
rnacentral:rRNA from 1 species